rnacentral:rRNA from 1 species
GAUGAACGCUGGCGGUGUGCCUAAUACAUGCAAGUCGAGCGAACAGACGAGGAGCUUACUCCUCUGACGUUAGCGGCGGACGGGUGAGUAACACGUGGAUAACCUACCUAUAAGACUGGGAUAACUUCGGGAAACCGGAGCUAAUACCGGAUAACAUGUUGAACCGCAUGGUUCAACAGUGAAAGACGGUCUUGCUGUCACUUAUAGAUGGAUCCGCGUCGCAUUAGCUAGUUGGUAAGGUAACGGCUUACCAAGGCAACGAUGCGUAGCCGACCUGAGAGGGUGAUCGGCCACACUGGAACUGAGACACGGUCCAGACUCCUACGGGAGGCAGCAGUAGGGAAUCUUCCGCAAUGGGCGAAAGCCUGACGGAGCAACGCCGCGUGAGUGAAGAAGGUCUUCGGAUCGUAAAACUCUGUUAUUAGGGAAGAACAAAUGUGUAAGUAACUAUGCACGUCUUGACGGUACCUAAUCAGAAAGCCACGGCCAACUACGUG